rnacentral:sRNA from 1 species
UACCAAUUGCACGUUCGUGAACACCACCAAUGGUGCCAGAAUCAAAACCUGGAUCGGGACAGUGGCAGCGGAAGUUAAGAACGUUACCUAUGAAGACAUCAUCAUGAAGAAUGUUCAGAAUCCCGUUGUCAUCGAUCAGAGCUAUGGCUCCAGAUUGUCCAGAGCGCCAUCAACUUCGGUAUGGAAGAUCAGCGAUAUUCAUUUCCGGAAGAUAAAAGGAACUACA